UACGUAGGGUGCAAGCGUUGUCCGGAAUUAUUGGGCGUAAAGAGCUUGUAGGCGGCUUGUCGCGUCUGCUGUGAAAUUUCGGGGCUCAACCCCGAACUUGCAGUGGGUACGGGCAGACUAGAGUGUGGUAGGGGAGACUGGAAUUCCUGGUGUAGCGGUGAAAUGCGCAGAUAUCGGGAGGAACACCAAUGGCGAAGGCAGCUCGCUGGGACGUUACUGACGCUGAGACGCGAAAGCGUGGGGAGCAAACAGG
rnacentral:rRNA from 1 species